GCAAGUCUGGUGCCAGCAGCCGCGGUAAUUCCAGCUCCAAUAGCGUAUAUUAAAGUUGUUGCAGUUAAAACGUCCGUAGUCAAACUUUAGUCUUACCGGCGUAGUGGCCUGGUCUUCAUUGACCAAGCUCAUUGCUGCCGGAGACUCCACGUCCAUUGACUCCUAGUCCUCGUGGCUAGGGUUUUCUGGACAAUUACCAUGAGCAAAUCAGAGUGUUUAAAGCAGGCUUUUAAGCUUGAAUGUGUUAGCAUGGAAUAAUGAAAUAUGACUUUAGUCCUAUUUUCGUUGGUUUAGGUACUUCAGUAAUGAUGAAUAGAAACGGUUAGGGGCAUUUGUAUUUGGUCGCUAGAGGUGAAAUUCUUGGAUUGACCGAAGACAAACUACUGCGAAAGCAUUGCCAA
rnacentral:rRNA from 1 species